CCAAUAGCGUAUAUUAAAGUUGUUGCAGUUAAAAAGCUCGUAGUUGAAUUUCGGGGUCAGUAGGUUGGUCAUGCCACCGGUAUGUACUGGUCUCACUGAUUCCUCCUUCCUGAUGAACUGUAAUGCCAUUAAUUUGGUGUUGCAGGGAAUCUGGACUGUUACUUUGAAAAAAUUAGAGUGUUUAAAGCAGGCUAACGCCUGAAUACAUUAGCAUGGAAUAAUGAAAUAGGACGUUCGAUCCUAUUUUGUUGGUUUCUAGGAUUGACGUAAUGAUUAAUAGGGAUAGUUGGGGGCAUUAGUAUUCAAUUGUCAGAGGUGAAAUUCUUGGAUUUAUUGAAGACUAACUACUGCGAAAGCAUUUGCCAAGGAUGUUUUCAUUAAUCAAGAACGAAAGUUAGGGGGUCGAAGACGAUCAGAUACCGUCGCAGUCUUAACCAUAAACUAUGCCGACUAGGGAUCGGAUGAUGUUAAUUUUUUAAUGACUCAUUCGGCGCCUUACG
rnacentral:rRNA from 1 species